rnacentral:lncRNA from 1 species
AUGUAUAAAAAAUUUUUGGUUGGAAAAUAUAUAGUAUUUAAAAACAAAAUCUUGAAAUUAAAUUUGAAAGCUGCAAAUGUAAUCACCCAAAGUGUGUAAUAUUUUAGCAUGCACCCUUCUUUCUUUCUAGGUGUUGUGAUUUUGUUUUUUUGUGGAGUGAAGAUGAGUAUUAUGACCACUUUCACAGAAAAGGUGAUUGCUUUUUGAUGGAGGUCCCUAUAAACACUCAUAGAUACAUACACCACUCCUGAAUGCUUUGAUAGGCGUGCUUUGUUGCAUAAAAAACACACCCUUUUUGCUUCUUUUUUUUCCUUUUCCUGUUGUUGGUUUCAUUACAAGUUAUUAGCCCCACUUGGAUUUUGCAGGCUUAUGUUUCUUUGUUGUUGUGUGUUUUUGGGGCAUCUUCUUCUGUAUCUAUUUCAUAUUUCCGUUGUAUGUUAGAUUCCCCUAUCCCCUUAUAUCAGACAUUUAGACCUCAUGUGAGAAGGGUUCUUUUUGUUUUUGGUCUUCAUGUUGUUUGUUCAUGAUGAAAGUUGUGUGAUUUUUGGUCAAAACAUUGAGUAAAGACUCUGCAAGAUUGGAUCUUUAUGAUG